rnacentral:rRNA from 1 species
AGGGAUUGCCCUAGUAACGGCGAGUGAAGCGGCAACAGCUCAAAUUUGAAAUCUGGCUUCGGCCCGAGUUGUAAUUUGCAGAGGAAGCUUUAGGCGCGGCACCAUCUGAGUCCCCUGGAACGGGGCGCCAUAGAGGGUGAGAGCCCCGUAUAGAUGGACGCCUAGCCUGUGUAAAGCUCCUUCGACGAGUCGAGUAGUUUGGGAAUGCUGCUCAAAAUGGGAGGUAAAUUUCUUCUAAAGCUAAAUACCGGCCAGAGACCGAUAGCGCACAAGUAGAGUGAUCGAAAGAUGAAAAGCACUUUGAAAAGAGGGUUAAAUAGCACGUGAAAUUGUUGAAAGGGAAGCGCUUGUGACCAGACUUGCGCCGAGUUGAUCAUCCGGUGUUCUCACCGGUGCACUCAGCCCGGCUCAGGCCAGCAUCGGUUCUCGUGGGGGGAUAAAGGUCCUGGGAACGUAGCUCCUUCGGGAGUGUUAUAGCCCAGGGCGUAAUGCCCUCGUGGGGACCGAGGUUCGCGCAUCUGCAAGGAUGCUGGCGUAAUGGUCAUCAGCGACCCGUCUUGAAACACGGACCAAGGAGUCAAGGUUUUGCGCGAGUGUUUGGGUGUCAAACCCGCACGCGUAAUGAAAGUGAACGUAGGUGAGAGCUUCGGCGCAUCAUCGACCGAUCCUGAUGUUUUCGGAUGGAUUUGAGUAGGAGCGUUAAGCCUUGGACCCGAAAGAUGGUGAACUAUGCUUGGAUAGGGUGAAGCCAGAGGAAACUCUGGUGGAGGCUCGCAGCGGUUCUGACGUGCAAAUCGAUCGUCAAAUCUGAGCAUGGGGCGAAAGACUAAUCGA